AGGGCGUUCAGGGAAUGCCUUGGCAGAUACAGGCGAUGAAGGACGCGCCAUGCUGCGAAAAGCCUCGGGGAGCUGCAAGGAAGCUUUGAUCCGGGGGUGUCCGAAUGGGGAAACCCACCUCUAAGCCUGAAUUGAUAAGCUGAUCUUUUGGGUCAGCUUAUUUUUCAGGCUUUAUAACGAGGUAUUUUAGAGCUGAAUAUAUAGGCUUUAAAAAGCGAACCCGGGGAACUGAAACAUCUCAGUACCCGGAGGAAAGGAAAUCAACCGAGACUCCCAAAGUAGUGGCGAGCGAAAUGGGACCAGGCGAUCAGUGUGUACGAACGGGAACAGUCUGGAAAGACUGGCCGCAGCGGGUGACAGCCCCGUACCGGCAGGAAGCACUGACAUAUCAAGUAGGGCGGAACACGUGAAAUUCUGUCUGAAGAUGGGGGGAACACCCUCCAAGCCUAAGUACUCGUAUCUGACCGAUAGUGAACUAGUACCGUGAGGGAAAGGUGAAAAGCACCCCAACGAGGGGAGUGAAACAGACCUGAAACUGAACGCUUACAAGCAGUCGGAGGGCCUUUAUGGCCUGACGGCGUACCUUUUGUAUAAUGGGUCAGCGACUUAGUCUCUCUAGCAAGCUUAAGCCGAUAGGCGUAGGCGCAGCGAAAGCGAGUCUGAAUAGGGCGAUUUAGUUAGAGGGAUUAGACCCGAAACCCGGUGAUCUAGAUAUGAGCAGGAUGAAGGUAAGGUAACACUUACUGGAGGUCCGAACCCGUACUUGUUGAAAAAAGUUGGGAUGACUUGUGUCUAGGGGUGAAAGGCCAAUCAAACCGGGAGAUAGCUGGUUCUCCGCGAAAUCUAUUUAGGUAGAGCGUCGCACGAAUACCCUCGGGGGUAGAGCACUGGAUGGGCUAUGGGGGCUUACCGCCUUACUGAUCCUAACCAAACUCCGAAUACCGAGGAGUAAUAUGCGGCAGACACACUGCGGGUGCUAAGGUCCGUAGUGAAAAGGGAAACAGCCCUGACCGACAGCUAAGGUCCCCAAGUCAUAGUUAAGUGGGAAAGGAUGUAGGGAUCCCAAAACAACCAGGAUGUUGGCUUAGAAGCAGCCAUCAUUUAAAGAAAGCGUAACAGCUCACUGGUCUAAAUAAGGGUCCCCGCGCCGAAAAUGUAACGGGGCUUAAACUAUGCACCGAAGCUUCGGAUGCACACUUUUAGUGUGCGUGGUAGCGGAGCGUUCUCUAUGCCGAUGAAGCGGUACCUGUGAGGGGCCGUGGAGGUAUGAGAAGUGAGAAUGCUGACACGAGUAGCGAUAAAGAGUGUGAGAGACACUCUCGCCGAAAGUCCAAGGGUUCCUGCGCAAUGCUAAUCAGCGCAGGGUUAGCCGGCCCCUAAGUCGAGGCGGAAACGCGUAGACGAUGGGAAUCAGGUGAAUAUUCCUGAGCCAGAAGAUGUGUGACGGAUUGAGUAAGUUGUUCGACCUUAUUGGAUUGGUCGGGCUGCGAAUCAGUCCCUGGAAAUAGCCUCUUCAAUAGACCGUACCCUAAACCGACACAGGUGGACUGGUAGAGCAUACCAAGGCGCUUGAGAGAACUGCAUUGAAGGAACUCUGCAAAUUACUCCCGUAAGUUCGCGAGAAGGGAGCCCCGUUUGGAGGCAACUCUGGGCGGGGGGCACAAACCAGGUGGUAUCGACUGUUUAACAAAAACACAGGGCUCUGCGAAGUCGUAAGACGACGUAUAGGGUCUGACGCCUGCCCGGUGCCGGAAGGUUAAGAGGAGGGGUGCAAGCUCCGAAUUGAAGCCCCGGUAAACGGCGGCCGUAACUAUAACGGUCCUAAGGUAGCGAAAUUCCUUGUCGGGUAAGUUCCGACCUGCACGAAUGGCGUAACGAAUUCCACACUGUCUCCAAUGCAGACUCAGCGAAACUGAAUUCUCCGUGAAGAUGCGGAGUUCCCGCGGUCAGACGGAAAGACCCCGUGCACCUUUACUACAACUUUGCAGUGGCAUUAGAGUCACCAUGUGUAGCAUAGGCGGGAGGCUUUGAAACUUGGGCGCCAGCUCAGGUGGAGCCGCAAUGUGAAAUACCGCCCUUGUUGUCUCUGAUGUCUAACCGCGGUCCGUUAUCCGGAUCCGGGACCCUGCAUGGUGGGUAGUUUGACUGGGGCGGUCGCCUCC
rnacentral:rRNA from 1 species